GCGUGCUUAACACAUGCAAGUCGAGCGGUGAACCCAGGCUUGCGUGUUGGUCUGUGGCGAACGGGUGAGUAAACGUGAGUAACCUGCCCUGGACUCUGGGAUAAACGCUGGAAAGGGCGUCGAAUACUGGAAAUGAACCUCUUCCGCACGGUGGGGGUUGGAAAGAUUAAUUGGUCUGGGUGGGGCUCGCGGCCUAUGCCUUGUUGGUGAGGGGUUUGUAAGGAAGGCCUUACGGGGAGCCUGCCAGACAGGGUGACCGGCCACACUGGGACUGAGACACGGCCCUUACUCCUAGGGGAGGAAGCUGUUCGAAAUAUUGCCCAAAGGGCAAAAGCCCCAUGCAGUUACACCGCGUGUUGGAUGACGGCCUUCAUGUUGAAACCUGAUUUAACACGGAAGAAGUUAAGGUGAAAGUACCUGCAGAAAAAGCGACGGCGAACUACCUGUCCCCAACCGCGGUAAUACGUAUGGCUACUAGGCUUAUCCUUUAAUUAUAGGGCGUAGUGACCUCCUAUGUCGUUAGUUAUUGCUGCUGUAACAUCCGUAGGCUCUAUCUUAGGCCUGCUGUGAGUACCCCCCGAUCAACCUGGGAUAGUGGAUAUUGGAAUUCAAGCUUUAGCGGUGAAAUGGACAGAUGUAUUGACUGUGACCCAUUGAAAUGGCAGAUCUCUGGGCCGAAACUCACUCUCAUGAGCGAAUUGGUGGUCAGCAAAUAAGACUAUAUACCGAGAGCGUGCACCCCGUACACGAUUAGAUCUACUGGUAGAGACAUCUCCACAGGUUCAGUGACACAUCUUAUGCAGUAACCUACCUCGUCCGGGGAGUACUGCCGCAUGCUCACACUCACAGGGAGUAUUACGAGCGCCCGCUCAAACUCAGAGCAUGCUUGAUUAUAUCGAUCCAAGCACGUAGAGCCUAUACCUUUGCUUCACAUCCAUCCGCACCAGCCUAGCCAUAGUUCAGCUCUCUCGCACACUGCUCUAGCAGAUAGUGUAUGGUUGUCGUCAGCUCGUGUCGUGAGAUGUUGGGUUAAGUCCCGCUACGAGCGCAACCCUCGUUCUAUGUUGCCAGCACGUAAUGGUGCGAACUCAUGCGGUACUGCCAAGGUCAACUCGGAGGAAGGUGGGGAUGACGUCUUAUCAUCAUGCCCCUUAUGUCUUGGGCUUCACGCAUGCUACAAUGGCCAGGUACAAAGGGCUGCAAUACCGUGAGGUGGAGCGAAUUCCAAGGAGCCAGUCCCAGUUCGGAUUGAGGUCUGCGACUCGACCUCAUGAAGUCAGAGUCGCUAGUAAUCGCAGAUCAGCAACGCUGCGGUGAAUAGGUUCCCGGGUCUUGUACACACCGCCCGUCAAGUCUUGAAAGUCGGUAACACCUGAAGCUUGUGGCCCAACCCUUGUGCCGGGUAC
rnacentral:rRNA from 1 species